GCUCUCCCAGCUCUGCACGGCCGCGCCGCCCACCCCCGUGCGGCCUUCGUAAAGGGGAGAGAGAGCCAGGCGGCCCCGGGGCCUGGGACUGGCCCCGCCGUGGCCCCUCCCGACCCGGGGGCGCGACAGAC